UACGAAGGGGGCUAGCGUCGCUCGGAAUUACUGGGCGUAAAGGGCGCGUAGGCGGCGAUCUCAGUCAGGCGUGAAAGCCCCGGGCUCAACCUGGGAACUGCGCUUGAGACGGGAUUGCUUGAGGGCGAGAGAGGGUGGUGGAAUUCCCAGUGUAGAGGUGAAAUUCGUAGAUAUUGGGAAGAACACCGGUGGCGAAGGCGGCCACCUGGCUCGCACCUGACGCUGAGGCGCGAAAGCGUGGGGAGCAAACAGG
rnacentral:rRNA from 1 species